GGGGGCAAACCCUGAUCCAGCCAUGCCGCGUGUGUGAAGAAGGCCUUUGUGGUUGUAAAGUCACUUUAAGCAGUGAAGAAGGACUACUUCGGUUAAUACCCGGAGACGUAUGACAUUAGGCUGCAGAAUAAGCACCGGCUAACUCUGUGCCAGCAGCCGCGGUAAUACAGAGGGUGCAAGCGUUAAUCGGAAUUACUGGGCGUAAAGCGAGCGUAGGUGGCUUGAUAAGUCAGAUGUGAAAUCCCCGGGCUUAACCUGGGAACUGCAUCUGAAACUGUUAGGCUAGAGUAGGUGAGAGGGAAGUAGAAUUUCAGGUGUAGCGGUGAAAUGCGUAGAGAUCUGAAGGAAUACCGAUGGCGAAGGCAGCUUCCUGGCAUCAUACUGACACUGAGGCUCGAAAGCGUGGGUAGCAAACAGGAUUAGAUACCCUGGUAGUCCACGCCGUAAACGAUGUCUACUAGUCGUUGGGUCCCUUGAGGACUUAGUGACGCAGCUAACGCACAUAAGUAUGUACCGCCUGGGGAGUAC
rnacentral:rRNA from 1 species